rnacentral:lncRNA from 1 species
AUAUAUUAGGAUAAAAAGCUCUGCCUCCUCCAACAGCGCACUUUAGGGGUGUUUUCUAACGUGCGCUUUUGCCGAUCAUGGCCAGAGGACGGCCGAAAAAGGCAAUUAACAUGGGGAUAACACUAGCCACGAAGUUUCCGGAAGCAACUAACAAAAAUCAGCCAGGUAUUACCCUCCCAGAGGGAAAAACCCCAAAGCAAACCGAGGAGUGGCCAUCACUACCAACUCCAGCAGUUGGGAUUGCUACACCGGCAGCAAGUGAGCAUGCAACAGCAGAAGGGAAAGAAGCGCAAGUGAACGCAGCUAAGCCUAGCUCAAGUUCGCAAGUAAAUGACGAUAAGGCGAAUACCCAAAAAUUUGAAGGUCAACCCCACGCCCAAAGGCGAUUGGAUUUGGAAAAACCUGUGGCGGACACAAAAUUGUGGGCGGGACCUCUUGGAGCUAACACAUACGCCGCAAAAGGGAUGACCUUAAAUUUCAUAGCACAGAAAAUUCAGGACGGGGUUAAAAUAGUUGAGCUGGAUAGGGAUGAAGUGGAAGCAGAAUCAGAGAAAUGGAACAAGGCAAUUAUCUUCUAUGUGGUAGGUGAUUCCCCAACAAAUUGGGGUUGUUGAACGUUUUGUUGCUGCUCAGUGGAAUUUUGUUGCCAAACCAAAGGUUUACUUUCAUAAUGCUGGAUAUUUUCUUAUUUGAUUUAAUAGUAUUGAGGAGAGGAACUCUGUAUUAUACUCUGGGCCUCACACCAUAAAUAACAAACCUAUUAUAAUCAGAGCUUGGUCAGUUGAAUUCAAUUUUAAGGAUGAAAUGCUUAAAACUCUACCACUUUGGGUCAAAUUUCCGAAUCUACCUCUAAAUUGCUGGGGGAUGAAAUCACUAAGCAGAAUUGCGAGUGGGUUGGGUAUUCCACUAUAUGCUGAUGAAUGCACAUCGAAAGUAGAUCGUAUAUCCUAUGCUAGGGUGUUGAGCGAGAUGGAUGUAACCAGGGAACUUCCAGUGUCUGUGAAUGUUCAUGACCCAAAUGGAAAAUGCUUUGGGUAGGAGGUGUGUUAUGACUGGAAACCAGAGUAUUACAGUGCUUGUCUGCGACUUGGACAUUCAUGUAAGGAGAUUGCAAAUAAGAAUCCACUUAAACUACUACCAAAGCAAACAAAACAGAUACUACCAAGGCCUAAACAAUAGUGGAAGCCAAGAGGCAUGAUACAACCUGAGGAGAAGCAAGAUCAACUUCCAAAUACAGAACAAAUGAUUACACUUGGAAAGAUGAAUGAGAAUGCAACAAGUUGUGAACAGGCAAAUGAAAAAGGAUGGACAAUAGUUAAAAGUAAAUCUGCUACAAAGAACAUAACACAUGAUGCUUCUUGUAGUAAUUUAAAUACUGCACAUGGAUUUGAUCCACUAGGUGGAGAAAAAGCAACUCAGCGAAGUAGUAGACCUCAAAGUGUAAUAGAAGCGAGACAGAGUAGUUUGGGUAGAAAGGCUGGCGAUCCACAAUCCCUGCAUAUCCCUACAUGAAACUAAUCACUUGGAAUGUUAGGGGUUUGAAUAAGCUGUAUAAGCAGAAGGAGAUGAAUGAGUUUUUGACGGUGAAUAAAGUCAGUAUAAUAGCUAUAAUUGAACAUAGAGUUACAGAACAAGCAUCAAAGAAGAUUGUUGAUAGAAUAGCACCUUUAUGGAAAUGGAGCAACAACUACAACACCGGGAAACGAGGCAGGAUAUGGAUCUUAUGGAACCCUAACAUAGUUAGCUUCCAGUUAGAAACAGUACAUACUCAAUAUAUAUAUAUGGAAGGGUCUGCUGGCUAGAUAAAUGAAUAUACUUCAGCUUCACUACAACAUAUGGACUUCAUAAUGUUGGUGAUAGAAGGACUUUAUGGAAUAGGCUUAACAAAAUCAGUGGAUUGCAGCAGGAGCCUUGGCUAGUAAUAGGUGACUUCAAUGCAGUAUUAUCAGUAGAUGAUAGAAUAAAUGGCAACCCAAUACAUGAAUCAGAAGUGGUAGACUUUAGAGAAUUUAUGAGAAAUUGCAAUAUGACUAAAUUGAGAAGUGUGGGAAGGGAGUUUACAUAGACAAAUAACAACAUCUACAACAAGAUAGAUAGGGUGUGGUAAAUGUAGAAUGGAUGAAUAAUUUUCCACAAGUGGACGUUGUAGUUUGGAGCCCCUUUUCUCUGACCAUAGCCCUUUGAGUGUCGAAAAUGGUGGAUAAAUCAAAAAGAGGGGCAAAACCUUUCAGAUUCUUCAAUUACCUUGCAGAACAUGAAGACUUUACUGCUUUGGUAGAGGCAGGAUGGCAGGAACCUGUACAGGGGAACUACAUGAAGAGUGUUUGGGAAAAAUUGAAGAAUGUCAAGCAGGAACUUAAGAAGUUGCCUAAUACAUAAAUUAUUGAAAUUCAGAAAAAGUAUGUAACAUUAGGAAACAGCUAGUAGAGGUUCAAGAGCAAAUGAAAGACAUCAAUCAGCAUAGUAUUUUGGUAAAUCAGGAAAAGAAAUUAAGAGAGCAGCUGGAGAAAUGAGUGAAUACAGAGGAAAGUGCAGCUAAGCAAAAAUCAAGAAACCAAUGGUUACAAUUAGGAGACACGAACUCAGCUUAUUUCUUUGCCUCAGCAAAAAGUAGAAUGGCACAAAAUAAAAUUAGAAAUCUUGUAUCUAGCAAUGGAGAUAUGCUGCAGACAAAGGAUGAUAUCAGGAAAGAAAUAAUAGGCUUCUAUAAGCAAUUGCUAGGAUCAGCAGCAAAUCAUUUGCAUGCCAUAAAUCCUGAGAUAAUGAAGGAAGGUCAGAUCUUGAAUAGAGACAUGCAGCUGAUAUUGAUAGAACCCGUGACCAGGCAAGAGAUAAUGGAAGCAUUGAGGGACAUUGAUGACCAGAAAGCACCGGGGUGCGAUGGUUUUAACUGCCUAUUUUGCAAGAAGGCUUGGAAUACAAUAGGAGAGGAGAUAACUGAAGCAAUAUUACACUUUUUCUCAACAAAUGACAUGCACAAGCCUAUAAACUGCACCUACCAUCAAACUGCACCUCAGUCACCUUGAUUCCAAAAGUCAAGAGCCCAUCUACCAUCAAACAAUUUAGACCCAUCUCCUAUUGUACAGUUUUGUACAAAAUCAUAUCCAAAGUGCUCACAAAAAGACUUCAAAGUGUCAUAGAUCAUCUCAUUGACAAAAGUCAAUCUGCUUUCGUCCCUGGGAGGGUUAUCUAUGACAAUAUCAUUCUUAGCCAUGAGCUAAUUAAGGGAUAUGAUAGAAAGAGUGUCUCACCUAGAUGCAUGUUGAAUAUAGAUAUGCAAAAAGCAUAUGACUCGGUGGAGUGGACUUUCUUAGAACAAGUACUAAACUUCCUUGCCAAAUAUGUCGACUGGAUUAUGAUUUGUAUGACCAAUGUCUCUUAUUCCAUUCUGAUCAACAGGAUUCCAAGUCCCCCUUUUCCUGCAAAGAAAGGCCCGAGACAGGGUGAUCCAUUAUCCCCUUUCCUCUUUGUUUUGACGAUGGAGUACCUUAAUAGACAUUUGAGGACUCUGAGGCAUAAUCCUGAUUUCAACUAUCACCCUAAAUGUUCAAAACUUCAAAUAAUUCAGCUAGGUUUUGCAGAUGACCUACUGUUAUUUUGUAGAGGGGAUGUGAUUUCUGUACAACUAUUAUUCGGGUGUUUCUCUGAAUUCUCUAUGUGUUCUGGGUUGAUUGCAAAUAUUGAAAAGAGCUCUAUAUUUUUUGGUGGCAUUGGAAGGGAGGAGCAGAAUGAAAUCAUGAAUAUUUUGGGAUACUCUAAAGGGGAGUUGCCCAUCAAGUACCUUGAGGUACCACUGAGUUCAAAGAGACUGUCAGUUACUCAAUGUUACCCUCUGGUGGACAAGAUGAUUGGAAGAAUAACUUCAUGGACCGCAAAAUACCUUUCUUAUGCAGGCAAGCUACAAUUAAUUAAGAAUGUGUUAUUCUGUAUUCAAGCCUUCUGGUCUCAUGUUUUUAUACUCCCUAAGAAGAUAGUACACAUGAUAGAGACAGCAUGUAGAAGUUUCUUAUGGGCAGGGCAAGCAGAGGUCACAAAGAAAGCACCUUUAGCCUGGGAGAAAGUAUGUUGCUCAAAAACUGCAGGAGGAUUCAAUGUCAUUCAUAUAGAAACAUGGAACAAAGCUGCAGUGAGUAAAUUGCUGUGGAAUCUGUGCACAAAAAGGACAAAUUAUGGGUAAAGUGGAUCCAUAUUUACUAUGGGAAAGGAAGGAAUAUUUGGGAGAUUGAGGCAAAACAGGCAUCUUGGAUCCUGUCGAUCCUAAGGCAAAGAAGUACAUUAUUGAGGCUGGAUUGGAGCUGAACGACAUACAAGAAAUGAAUUACUUCCCUAUCAAAUUGAUGUAUCAGAAGCUGAGAGGUGUGCAACCUAAAGUUCCAUGGAAGAAAUUGGUAUGUAACAAUUAUGCCACUCCUAGAUGGGUUUUCAUAUUAAAUCUAGCAAUUCAAGGCAGAUUAACUACUAAGGAGAGAUUAUUACGAUGGGGAAUGCAAGUUAAGAAGGAAUGUGUAUUAUGUGGUUGGGCAGAUGAGACGACUAGUCACCUGUUUUUUGAACGCAUUUUUUCAAAAGAAAUCCGGCAAAGGCUGCUGAACUGGCAAGGUAUUAAUAAACAUGUGAAGAUAUGGGAAGAUGAGAUUCACUGGGAAACUACAGAAAUGAAGGGUAAGAACUCAAUUGAUGAAAUCUUUAGAAUGACAAUAGCUGGUGCGGUGUAUUACAUUUGGCAAGAGAGGAACCUAAGGCUAUUCCAAAACAAGCAGCGGAAUGUGAUAUCUAUCCUCAAGGAGGUGGUGCAGGAUCUGUUUGUGAGAGGAGGCAAGAAAUACAAGCUAGCCAGUAGACUCAGACUUAAAUUUCUAUCCAUAGUGAGCAGAAGAGAUAGGGGUUGAGAAGUACGCUAGGCAUUGGGGCCUUCUGUCCAAUAGCCUAGUUACUAGGAGUAAAUGAGUUGUCUUUUUCUUUCUUCUAGCGAU